UAUGGACGGGAAUAACCUCGGGAAACUGAGAAUAAUGCCCGAUAGAACAUUAUGCCUGGAAUGGUUUAUGUUCCAAAUGAUUUAUCGCCGUAGGAUGGGACUGCGGCCUAUCAGUUUGUUGGUGAGGUAAUGGCCCACCAAGACUAUUACAGGUACGGGCUCUGAGAGGAGUAGCCCGGAGAUGGGUACUGAGACACGGACCCAGGCCCUAUGGGGCGCAGCAGGCGAGAAAACUUUGCAAUGUGCGAAAGCACGACAAGGUUAAUCCGAGUGGUUUCUGCUAAAGGAACCUUUUGUCGGUCCUAGAAACACCGAUGAAUAAGGGGUGGGCAAGUUCUGGUGUCAGCCGCCGCGGUAAAACCAGCACCUCAAGUGGUCAGGAUGAUUAUUGGGCCUAAAGCAUCCGUAGCCUGCUUUGUUAGUUUUCGGUUAAAUCUGUACGCUCAACGUACAGGCUGCCGGGAAUACUGCAAAGCUAGGGAGUGGGAGAGGUAGACGGUACUCGGUAGGAAGGGGUAAAAUCCUUUGAUCUAUUGAUGACCACCUGUGGCGAAGGCGGUCUACCAGAACACGUCCGACGGUGAGGGAUGAAAGCUGGGGGAGCAAACCGGAUUAGAUACCCGGGUAGUCCCAGCCGUAAACCAUGCGAACUCAGUGAUGCAUUGGCUUGUGGCCAAUGCAGUGCUGCAGGGAAGCCGUUAAGUUCGCCGCCUGGGAAGUACGUACGCAAGUAUAAAACUUAAAGGAAUUGGCGGGGGAGCACCACAAGGGGUGAAGCCUGCGGUUCAAUUGGAGUCAACGCCGGG
rnacentral:rRNA from 1 species